UCUUCGGUAGUAUAGUGGUCAGUAUCCCCGCCUGUCACGCGGGAGACCGGAGUUCGAUUCCCCGCCGGAGAG
rnacentral:tRNA from 1 species